UCCUCGGUAGCUCAAUCGGCAGAGCAUCUGACUGUUAAUCAGAGGGUUCCUGGUUCGAGUCCAGGCCGAGGAGCCA
rnacentral:tRNA from 1 species